GGUGGUUAUAAACCGGUUGCCCUCCUGGCAUGCAGAGAGCAAUGCAAAGGGUCUGGAACAGUGGUGAGCAUCUCACUGCAAUUCAAAGUCAUUUAUUUACAUUAGCAUGGUUGAUUCUGUGAGGUACAGCAGAGUAUAGCAGGUCAGGCUGCUGCCUUUCUCCUGCACUAUUAUUUUUGCAAAUGAUAAAUAUAAGGAAGGAGGCAGCAGAAGAUGUGACACUAUGCUUUGUCUCCCACAAUGGCACUUUGACACUUUUUGUCUGGAAAAUGGAGUGAAGGUCCAAUGGACUAUUUUCAUCAUAACAGAGUGAAUGCUUGUCCAGUGGAGUCCUGCUUGUAUGCAGACAGACAAGAUGUAAGAAACGUGAAAACAUGAACCAAGCUAAAAAGCUAUGGCCCAUAAAGAAAAUCAUCUGCGGUAACGUAAAAGGAGCUCCUAUCCUGAGACCUCAGUGCUGCAGAAGGAAAUGUUGCCCAUACUACUGGAAGCUGGCUCCAAUUACCAGCCUUUAAUUGAGAAGCAUGAAGAUGCUGAGAUACUAUCAUCCUACAGACACAUGGGUAUGAACUUGAAAUGCGAAACUUCAAUGGGAUGGUUCACAUGCCUGAAGUUCAGUUCGUGUACAACUUCCUGCCGGAAGACCGGUCAUAAAAUUUCUGAGUACUUCAACGAUUUAGGGGGCAAUGGGCAUCAGAGGAUUAGGACACAGUAUGUGUGAACACAUAAGAAAAUAGAACAAAACAGCUUCAUCAAUAAGACAAUAAAAAUGCUUCAAUAUGUUGUUUAUCCCAUCAUCUCUUGGCACUGUUAACUGUUAGCAUCUCAGUGACACCGAAGCCUUUUUUAAUGAUAAGCUUCAGAAAGUUUAUAAAGCAAACAUCAGGCUAGUGGAACAGUACACAAUAUUUUCCCUGCCUUGACCUAAUUAGUGAGUAGGCAUUUAGUACUUAGUUAACUCACACAACUGAGAACUUUUAUAAGAAAAUGAU